CCAAGUCACAGAGCUCAUAAGUGAAGAAGUCAGGAUUUUCUUUUUUUGUCCCACUGUGGUUUCUUUUCUUUUUUUUUUCCCAGAGUGUGAAAGUGAAAGUGUUAGUUGCUCAGUCGUGUCUAACUUUUUGCGACCCCAUGGACUAUACCUCUGUCCGUGGGAUUCUCCAGGCAAUAAUACUGGAGUGGGUUGCCAUUCCCUUCUCCAGGGGAUCUUCCCCACCCAGGGAUUGAAUCCCUGGUAUCCUGCAUUGCAGGCAGAUUCUUUACCAUCAGAGCCACAUGGGCCUCUUAUUGGAGUAUAGGUGAUUUAAAAUGCUGCAUUUGUUCCACAGUUGAACUGUGGUGAUGGCUGCUGCUACUGCUGCUAAGUCGCUUCAGUCGUGUCCGACUCUGUGCGACCCCAUAGACGGCAGCCCACCAGGCUCCUCCGUCCCUGGGAUUCUCCAGGCAAGAACACUGGAAUGGUGAUGGCUACCUUUAGUCAAAAUUCAUAGAAACAGACAAAAGAGAGAGUCCAGAGUGACGUGAACUCCACGUGGAUUUGCUCAGAGGUGACCAGGCUCGAGCUGCUGUAACAAGAAUUCCACAGGCUGGGAGGCUCACAGAAGAGAUGUUUAAGAAGGCUGGGAACCCAAGGUCAAGGUGCUGUCCUCGAGGCUUGCAGACCUCCGCCCCCCUGCUGUGUGCUCACGUGGCAGAAGCAGACCGAGGUCACUUCCUGGUGUCUCUUCUUUUAAAGGCACAAACCCCACUCACAGGGGCCCCACCCUCCUGAGCUUAUUCCCUCUGAAGGCCCCAAGUUGCACUGGGGGUUGGGGCAUUAACAUAUGGACUUGGGGAACACAGGCUUUCAGUCCACAGCAGAACGCCGGCACCACAUGCACACGAGUCAAAAACUAAGAUGAAAUAGUAUAUCCCCAACUCCUCAUCAACAGCCAGCGACAAGGAAAGUGCAUCCGCAAGUUUGCUUCGGAUGCUGUCAAAUCAGAAUGCUUUCCAAUGGUGCCUGAGAUGUGAAGAGUAUCAGCCAUCUUUGGCUGAAUAUAUUUGUGUAUGCGUCUUAAACUUGAUUCCUGACCAACUAACAAUAAUUAACCCUCUUACCUUUUAGCUUCUGUAUUUUGAUUCUUUAAAAUGUCAACUUGAAUGUUGUAUAGCUCUGUGGUACAGGAAAUACGCUACUUUAAAUAUAUCCUUACAUAUUUAAGUCAACACAAAGUCUGUUAUAUCUGAUUCUGAAUUACGAGGUUUCUGUCUAAAUUCAGUGGUGGAGAACACUGAUGCUGUUGUUCAGCCGCUCAGUCGUGUCUGUCUCUUUGUGACCCCAUGGACUGCAGCACACCAGGCUUUCCUGUCCUUCACCAUUUCCCGGAGUUUGCUCAGAUUCAUCUUCACGGAGUCAACGAUGGCAUUCAAAGAGAGCUAGCUUCAUAAAAAUGUUUUAGGACGAGAUGGAAAUGUUUUGGUUCUGUGUUUCAAGAAAGAAAAGUAAUGAGUGUCUGGGAUCAUUAAACUCUUUAAUAAAAAGUUC
ensembl:lncRNA